ACGCUCGACACCUACGAGAGGCAGCAGUGGGGAAUAUUGCACAAUGGGGGAAACCCUGAUGCAGCAACGCCGCGUGAAGGAAGACGGUUUUCGGAUUGUAAACUUCUGUUCUUAGUGAAGAUAGUGACGGUAGCUAAGGAGCAAGCCACGGCUAACUACGUGCAGCAGCCGCGGUAAUCUGAGCGGGCUGGCAAGGC
rnacentral:rRNA from 1 species